rnacentral:rRNA from 1 species
UACGUAGGUGGCAAGCGUUGUCCGGAUUUACUGGGCGUAAAGAGCGCGCAGGCGGUCGAUCAAGUCGAGUGUGAAAGCCCCCGGCUCAACUGGGGAGGGUCAUUCGAUACUGAUCGACUCGAAGGCAGGAGAGGGUAGUGGAAUUCCCGGUGUAGUGGUGAAAUGCGUAGAUAUCGGGAGGAACACCAGUGGCGAAGGCGACUACCUGGCCUGUUCUUGACGCUGAGGCGCGAAAGCUAGGGGAGCAAAC